UGCCUCCUUCUUCAUUAGGGAGGUGUGUGGGGAGGGGAUAUGAACUCAGUGGUGUAACUGCCCAAUAGUACUGCUCACCUUCAGUCAUUAGCAAUGAAGCUUCAGGAGGUAGCUGCUAAAACUGUAGCAAAAAAGCAAUUUCUGGAGACUCUGGCAACACUCACUGUUCUUUGACAUUCCCUCUAGUUACCCAGCUCCCUAACAUGGAUAGUUUUAUAUUUACUGUAGAGCCUUGGUCUUGAGUCAUAACUGUUAAGAGCUUGGCUUUCUCUGCAAAACCACAAUGCUCAGCACCAGACCUGGUUCCUCUGGAAUCAUCCUCUGCUCUUGCUCAAAUAUGUAUACAAUAUUCCAUGUUAAGCAUUCUGAAAUUCAGAACCUUUUGAAGCAAUUCCAGGCAUAACAGCAAUAGUCACAGUGAAAUUUAUGUUGAUAACAUUAAUGUUUGGGGCUGUUCUGCUGGCAUUUACAUUUAGGACAAAGAACACCGAUAAAAUCUUGGCUUUGAGUAUCAGUGAAAUCUCUUUGAUGUUAACUGUAUGAUGUCUUGGGGUUUGUAGAUGGAAGCAGCCACCUGCUACUCUGCAGUUACAACCUUCCGAUUGCUCUGAUAUGCAGACUAUUUUAUAACUGUGUUGUAUAAGGCAGGAAAGAAAGAUGGGACAUAUUUACAGAGCCAAAAAGUACAUUUUUUCUUUAAUGGCACCUUUCAAUGGUGUGUCAGGUAUAAAUGUUACACUGUGUGCUUGAAAUACCUCAGGGCUUGAGUUUACAUCCUUUGUUUCUAUAUUUUUAUUUUUCUAUUUGUCAUAUUUAUGAAUAACAGAAUGUUCCUUUUAAAACAGUCUAGAAGGGAGAAAGGCUGUCCCCAGAAGGGGAAAAAUAAAUUACAUCAAAGGCUCAGAAUCUCUUAA